UCUCCUUCUAUCCUCUUCCACCUCCCAUCCCCUCCACGGUCAAACCUUGGUCGAGAAUACCCAUGACCGUUCCAUUAUCAUCUCGCAUCUUGCAAGAUUUCCAAAUCCCAAUGUACGAUUAUUAACAGGUAUCUGAAAUAGAAGUCCUGGUUACAACAGUAUGAAGAGUACCACUCCCAUGAGCACUGGCCCCUAGUCCGCCAUUAACAACAAUAUGAGAGAGCUAUUUAGAAAAAAGGGGUGACCGAAAAAGUUGUAGCUUAUGGAGAACGCUCGCAAGAAACUUUCUCUAUCUGGAUUUGUUGUUUUUUUA
rnacentral:lncRNA from 1 species